rnacentral:rRNA from 1 species
UACGAAGGGGGCUAGCGUUGCUCGGAAUGACUGGGCGUAAAGGGCGCGUAGGCGGAUGGCACAGUCAGAUGUGAAAUUCCCGGGCUUAACCUGGGGGCUGCAUUUGAUACGUGUGAUCUAGAGUGAGGAAGAGGGUCGUGGAAUUCCCAGUGUAGAGGUGAGAUUCGUAGAUAUUGGGAAGAACACCGGUGGCGAAGGCGGCGACCUGGUCCUUGACUGACGCUGAGGCGCGAAAGCGUGGGGAGCAAACAGG